UAGAAAGAAGUGAUGGUAUAGAAUCCACCUACUUCCAUUAAUCUUCAUCUUCCUAAGCUUGCUACCACAACAUCAAGACUUCUCCAUACUCAGGUUUUGUUCAGAAAAUGAUUCAUCAUCAUCCGUCUCCUUAUGCUCAUGGCUAUCAUGGACACCAUGGUCUUGGCGGAGGACACCAUCCACAUGGUGGUCGAGGUGGUCACAAAGGGGGACACCACCUCCAUGCACUGGUACAGUCGCUCCAAUCAAAUAUUCAUAGAGGUCAGAGCGUCCUCGCCAUGAUACCUCACCCAGGCCCUCACCAUCCUCCUCCUCCACAUGCUCUUGGCUGCCAUGGAGGUGGAGCACAACAUGGCCAUCACGGAGGAGGGCAUCACGGCCAUCAUGGAGGAGGGCACCACGGCCAUCAGGGAGGAGGACAUCACGGCCAUCAUGGGCACGGCAUCUGUCAUAGCGGGGUACAUCAUGGACUUGGUGGAGGAGCACAUGGUGGCGCCGGUGGUGGCGGUUUCAGCCAUCAAGGUCACGGGGGUCAUGGCGGUGGACACCACCAUCCCCAUUGAAAGGAACACUAUCGCCAUACUCAUACGCUUCUUGGAGUGAAAUAAAUAGAGAAAUUAGCAUCCAUAUGCUUGUUUUUAGUAAAGCAUGGAUAGCUAUUAGUGUGGUAUCGGAAGCUUGUUUCCAGUGUUGAAUGGGCGUGUAAUAACAUUCUUGUAUCCAAGGAUUAUACUUAGUUGCCUUAUCUUCUAAAUUUCCUUUCCCUUUUAUUUGAUAAAUUUUGUAGAAAAAAAUUGAUCUGACAUUUUAUUAUACUUUCAGUUUUAUUAA